rnacentral:rRNA from 1 species
CCGUUGCCGGCGACCGGCGCACGGGUGAGUAACACGUAUGCAACCUGUCCGUGGCAGGGGGAUAAGCGGGGGAAACCCCGUCUAAUACCGCGUAACGCGGCCUAGGGACAUCCCAAGGCCGCCAAAGGGAGCAAUCCCGGCCACGGAUGGGCAUGCGGCGCAUUAGCUAGUCGGCGGGGUAACGGCCCACCGAGGCGACGAUGCGUAGGGGUUCUGAGAGGAAGGCCCCCCACACUGGUACUGAGACACGGACCAGACUCCUACGGAAGGCAGCAG